AUUCCGUGGAACUUGUCACUCCUGAUGCAAGCGUGGAAACUGGGCCCAGCCUUGGCAACUAGAAACCUGGUGGUGAUGAAGGUGGAGGAGCAGACACCUCUCAUGGCUCUACGUGGCCAACUUAAUCAAGGAGGCAGGCUUCCCCCCUGGUGUGGUCAAUAUCGUUCCUGGAUUUGGCCCUACUGCUGGGGCUGCCAUCAUAUCCCAUGAGGAUGUGGACAAAGUGGCUGGCCUUCACAGGCUCCACUGAGGUUGGUCACCUAAUCCAGGUUGCCACCGGGAGCAGCAACCUCAAGAGAAUAACCCUGGAGCUCGGGGGGAAAGAGCCCCAACAUCAUCAUGUCUGAAGCUGACAUGGACUGGUCUUUGGAGCAGGCCCACUUUGCCCUGUUCUUCAACUAGGGCCAGUGCUGUUUUCGAAGGCUCCCAGACCUUCGUGCAGGAGGAUGUGUAUGACGAAUUCGUGGAACGCAGUGUGGUCUGGGCCAAAUCUCGGGUGGUAGGGAACCCCUUCCACAGCCGGACAGAGCAGGGGCCACGGGUGGAUAAGACUCAGUUUAAGAAAAUCCUCAGCUAUAUCAAAUCGGGACAAGAAGAAGGGGCGAAGCUGCUAUGUGGUUGGGGCGCCACCGAGGACCGUGGCUACUUCAUCCAGCCCACUGUGUUCGGAGACGUAAAAGAUGGCAUGACCAUUGCCAAGGAGGAGAUCUUCGGACCAGUGAUGCAGAUCCUCAAAUUCAAGACUAUAGAGGAGGUUGGGGGGGGGCAAACCAAUGAUUCUAAGUAUGGGCUGGCAGCAGCUGUCUUCACAAAGAACCUGGAUAAGGCCAGUUACCAUAUAUAUGUGCUUUUUCAUGUUUAA